GCGGAUGGCUGGAUGAUCGCGUGCGCCGGGCGACCGGUGCGCGAGGAAAGUCCGGACUCCGGGAAGAAACGGUGCCGGGUAACGCCCGGGCGGGGCAACCCGACGGAUAGCGCCACAGAAAACAGACCGCCCCGGGUCCGCCCGGGGCAAGGGUGAAACGGUGGGGUAAGAGCCCACCGGGGGCGUGGCAACACGGCCCGCAUGGCAAGCCCCACCGGGAGCAAUGCCGAAUAGGGACCGCGCGGCUUCGCGCCAGGGCUUCUUCCGCCCAGCGGUCCGGGUAGGCAGCUCGAGCCUGUCGGCAACGGCAGGCCCAGAUGAAUGAUCAUCCACCCGUGGCGACACGGGGGACAGGAUCCGGCUUACAGGCCGUCCGCGCAC
rfam:Maribius salinus strain DSM 26892 genome assembly, contig: Ga0069991_104